rnacentral:lncRNA from 1 species
GAGCGGUUUGGGGCACAGCGCAGUGCCUCAUCCUCAGAAGUGCUGUUUUGGGGCAAAACCCAGCAUCUCGGCUCAAAAACGGGGGCGCUCUGGGCUGCAGCACAGCCCCUGCCCCAAAAAGGGCUUUUUUGGGGUGUAACAGGGCGCCUCCGACCAAAAUGGGGCUGUUUUGGGGCACCUCAGCCUGAAAAGGGGCAGAUACGGGCAGCAAGCCAGCAUUUCUGCCCCGAAAAGGGGCAGUUUUGGAGCAAACCAGCAUCUCAGCCUCCAAAAAUGGGCGUUUUGAGGCAUAACGCAGCAUCUCAGCCCCAAAAGGACCAUUUUGGGGCCACUACAAGGUAUCUCUGCCCCAAAAAGAGCCAUUUUGGGGCCACUUUGGGGCACCUCUGCCCCAAAAAGAGCCGUUUUUGGGUCACUAUGAGGUACCUCCACCCCAAAAAAAAGAGAUGUUUUGGGUCACUCCGAGGUAUCUUUCCCUCCAAAAAAAGCCAUUUUGGGGCACCUCUACCCCCAAAAGCACCAUUUUGGGACCACUUCGGGCCACCUCUCCCCCCAAACAAACCAUUUAGGGCAGCCCCCCCCCCCAGAUAAAAAAAAAAUCACCUCCAUUUCCAACCCUCCCCACCCCAAAAACCCCCUUCCACACCGCAGCACGCCCCCAAACCCCCACUCCCUUCCCCCAGAGGAAGGCCCCGUUGGGGAUCUCCGUCCCCAAAAAGCGUGUUUUUUCCCCCAAAAUUUAUUAUUUUUUUUUUGGGGGGGGGGGGGCUCACCUUGCUUCUCCUCGAAGGCCGCCCAGAGGAGGUGGAUGUUGGGCUUGCGGGGCAAGUGGUAGCCGCAGGCGCGCUGGAAGACGCUGCGCGCCCCCGCCACCGUGUGGCCCUCCAAAUAUUUCGUGUACUGCACCGGGGGGGGGGGCAAAAGGAGAAAAAAAAAACCAAAAAAACAAAAAAACAAACAAAAAAAAAGGGCCGGGGGGGGCAAAAAAUGGCGUCGUACAGCAAGGAGCGAGGUUCAAUUUUCCAGGGAACGCUGGGAAAUGGAGGUUUUCGGCACUGGGUU